rnacentral:RNase_P_RNA from 1 species
GAAGCUCGCCAGACCGCCGCUGGUGCAAUCUCCGAAAGGAGGCACUGGAGGAACGUCCGGACUGCACAGGACAGCGUAGGAGGCAACGCCUCUCCACCGUGAGGUGAGGAUCAGAGCAACAGAGACGAGCCGAUUCAGUUCGGGUGAAACGGGCAAUCUCUACGCGCAGCAAUACCAAGUAGGCCAGCGUUGAUGUGGUUCCGCAGAGCUGGCGGGUAGGUAGCAUCGAGCCGGGUGGGCGACCCCCGGCCCAGAGUAAUGGCGGUCACGCAGCGGGCAACCGCUGUGCACAGAAUCCGGCUUAUCGGUGAGCUUCACAC